GGCCGUCGUCAGUUCGUACUGUGAAGCAUCCUGUUAAGUCAGGCAACGAGCGAGACCCACGCCCACAGUUGCCAGCGUACUCUCUGGAGUGACGGGUACACUGUGGGACCGCCGCUGCUAAAGCGGAGGAAGGAAUGGGCAACGGUAGGUCAGUAUGCCCCGAAUAUCCCGGGCUACACGCGAGCUACAAUGGUUGGUACAAUGGGUAUCUACCCCGAAAGGGGACGGGAAUCUCCUAAAACCAAUCUUAGUUCGGAUUGAGGGCUGCAACUCGCCCUCAUGAAGCUGGAAUCCGUAGUAAUCGCGUUUCAACAGAACGCGGUGAAUACGUCCCUGCUCCUU
rnacentral:rRNA from 1 species